AACCAGCCUUUGGGGACCCGGAGGUGGCAGCGGUAGGCAGAUGGGGGUGGGGAGCGGCGGCGGGCGGCUCUUUGGCUCACAAAACACCUGAUCUCCCCAUGCGGCAACCGAGACCAGCGCAGUGCGAGGGUGGGGUGACGGGGUGCGAGUGAGAAAUCACACACGGCCCCCUCCCCAAAAUGCCCGUGGAAGCCAGGGUAAGGAAGCCAGAGGGAAGCGGGGACGCCUAAAAGCGGCGGGAGCCACCCGGGAACGGUUUCCUCCUGGGGCGCGCCGGUACGAAGCCGGAACCGGCGAGGAACGGGACUGCGAGGGAGAGGAGUCAGUGCGGAGCAGGGGGAAGCGCGAAGCAGAGAUGGAAAGGAGGUCGCCCCUCUUGCGGUGCGCCUGAUGUUGGGGGACUAAGCCUACAGCCUGGGUAGGACUCCAGUGAUCUUUUCCAGCCAGAACCAGUUUGUGAGUGGGCCUAGACUGGACCACAGCGGGCGUUCCAGUGCUUGGAGAAUUUCCUCGAGGUUCCACGCGCGUCUUGGAAGCCAGAAAAGCAAGGUGUCCAGACGCUGCGCCUUCAACCCGCGCCGCCGCCCAGAAGGGCAGGGCAGACACCUAGGAGCUGAACUCUGACACACACCUUCGGCUCCCCACUACCAGGUGAGGACUUGGCUGGCGUCUACGACUCCCGCCGGCCGAAACACCUGGAACCACAGACGCACCUCGGCCCAGCGCCCCUGCUGGCUCGCCAGAGCACUGCAUUCUAAGGAAGAAAGAGAUCCCCUUUACCUGACCAGACCGACCAGACCCGGCAAUUAAGGACACUCCACCUUCAAAUAUGUGCAUUUUUCAGAAGGCUUUCUGAGGAGGAAUUAGCCGAAGGGGAAAGAAAUGUAAAUGCAGGGAUUUCGGGCACCUAGGAGUUCAGCCUUUUCCACUGUGGGCCCUUACUCUGAUCCAAGCUCCGAGCAAAAGAGUAUUUUGCAGCUGGAUGCACUGAGCCACGUGGGUACAUGCUUUUAGAAACAGGAAUUCGGAGUCAGAUCUGGGAAAAUUUUUAUUUUCAGCCUUCAGACCUUUUUGCUUUUAUGUUGAUCCCAUGAUUCUCCUAAGACUGAAAUAUGAAAGUUCAAGAAACAAGUAGGAUUUUGUAUAUUCAUAGAAAAACAAAAAGGAUGCACUCUGACUGCUAACCACGGGUAUCCCAAGUGUGGGAUUGGAGUGUGGGAAGGAGGGAGAUAAAUUUUAUACCCUUAUACUGACUCUGCAUUUUGUAUUUUUCCAGUUAUAUUAACUGUCACAAUUUAGAAAGGUAAUAAAACAUUUUAAGAAAUAUAGAAAUUAAAAAUUCUUCAAGAACUCUGGAGAAAGUAUAAAUUAAUAAACAAAUGAAGCCUCUGCUUUCAUUCUACAUCAAAGUAA